rnacentral:lncRNA from 1 species
CUCGUUGAUCGUAGCAAAGCUACAAACUUACGGUCCUUCUUUGGUUUGCCUUUCUGAAUUUCACACUUUGUGGCGUCGCUCGCGCAAGGCACUGCAUGGCGACUGUGAAAGGUAAUAAACCGCUCUGGUCCCGUGAGUAGUUUAGAAAAUAAUUUCUAAGCUUGGAAAAAUUAGAGAAAUGCUAAAAAAAAAAAGCAUGAAAAAAAAUCAAAAUAUUGCAUUCCAAAGAAACUGUUCAGAAAGUCCUAAGACUCCUAACAAGCUAGCAGACAUUCUACUUGUACAAGAGGAGCUUACUAUUUGAUAAAUGCGUCAAUCAGUUUUGGUUAGCUUCCUCAUACCUUGGUCGACACUGAUACUGGGUGAAUAGUACAUUUUCAGGAUUGUCCCAAUUCUUUUGGGCUUCCAAAUUGCACUCGACCAUGCCACAAUAUGGCAUGCAUCUGUGUUCUCCAUCAUACUCCAAGCAACAGUUAGAAGUAACCCACAUACGAGGAUCAGAUUCUACGUUGAACCGUUGAAGUCACAAUAAAAGCAGAGUUUGAAAGGCGUUGACACCAAUACCAAUAUUUGAAUGCUGCGCUCUUUCAAUCCU